UACGGGGGGGGCAAGCGUUGUUCGGAAUUACUGGGCGUAAAGGGCUCGUAGGCGGCCAACUAAGUCAGACGUGAAAUCCCCAGGCUCAACCUGGGAACUGCGUCUGAUACUGGAUGGCUUGAAUCCGGGAGAGGGAUGCAGAAUUCCAGGUGUAGCGGUGAAAUGCGUAGAUAUCUGGAGGAAUACCGGUGGCGAAGGCGGCAUCCUGGACCGGCAUUGACGCUGAGGAGCGAAAGCUAGGGGAGCAAACAGG
rnacentral:rRNA from 1 species